ACCAGCCAAUUCAUGACGAGAAGCACACACUUAACGACAAGCAUUGAGACCUGUCAACCAGCCAAUUCAUGACGAGAAGCCACACCUAACGACAAGCAUUGAGACCUGUCAACCAGCCAAUUCAUGAUGAAAAGAUUAACAUGCAGAAGUUUGAAUAAUGUGUCUGUUAUUAUUAAAAUAUUUUUUUUAAGAUUCAUCCCAUAUCACAAUAGUGGAACCUUAUGCCAUAGAGGGGAAAAAUAUCAAAACCAAAUGUGUAUCCCAAUGUGUCAUUAACCAAUGUGUCAUUACCCCAAUGUGUCAUUAUCCCAUGGGUCCAUUACCCCAAUGUGUCAUUAAUCCAAUGUGUCAUUACCACCCCAAUGUGUCAUUAAUCCAAUGUGUCAUUAAUCCAAUGUGUCAUUACCCCAAUGUGUCAUUAACCCAAUGUGUCAUUAAUCCAAUGUGUAUUACCCCAUGUUCAUAA
rnacentral:lncRNA from 1 species